rnacentral:rRNA from 1 species
CUACAGAGGGUGCGAGCGUUGUUCGGAAUUAUUGGGCGUAAAGAGCAUGUAGGCGGUCUGUUAAGUCUGGUGUGAAAGCCCGGGGCUCAACCCCGGAAGUGCAUUGGAUACUGGCAGACUUGAGUAUGGGAGAGGAAAGCGGAAUUCCGAGUGUAGGAGUGAAAUCCGUAGAUAUUCGGAGGAACACCAGUGGCGAAGGCGGCUUUCUGGACCAAUACUGACGCUGAGAUGCGAAAGCGUGGGGAGCGAACAGGAUUAGAAACCCGGGUAGUCC